AUUGAACGCUGGCGGCAUGCCUUACACAUGCAAGUCGAACGGCAGCGGGGACUUCGGUCCGCCGGCGAGUGGCGAACGGGUGAGUAAUGUAUCGGAACGUACCUUUCAGUGGGGGAUAACGUAGCGAAAGUUACGCUAAUACCGAAUAUUCGCUGAGGAGGAAAGCAGGGGACCUUCGGGCCUUGCGCUGAUGGAGGGGCCGAUAUCAGAUUAGCUAGUUGGUGGGUUAAAAGCCUACCAAGGCGACGAUCUGUAGCGGGUCUGAGAGGAUGAUCCGCCACACUGGGACUGAGACACGGCCCAGACUCCUACGGGAGGCAGCAGUGGGGAAUUUUGGACAAUGGGGGCAACCCUGAUCCAGCCAUGCCGCGUGAGUGAAGAAGGCCUUCGGGUUGUAAAGCUCUUUCGGCCGGGAAGAAAUCGCAUAGGCUAAUACCCUGUGUGGAUGACGGUACCGGAAUAAGAAGCACCGGCUAACUACGUGCCAGCAGCCGCCGUAAGAC
rnacentral:rRNA from 1 species